GUUUCUACUUCCCUUUUUAGGUCUUGGAUGGUUUUGUUCAAUUCCAUCAUGUGCUUGGUUGUGUUUUCCUGUAAUUCUUUAAGUGUGUCAUUAAUGCCCUUCUUAAGGUCCUAUCAUGAGAUAGGAUUUUAUUUCUGAGUCUUGCUUUUCAGGUGUGUUGGGGUAUCCAAGACUGGCUGAGUUGGAAGUGCUGACUUCUGUUGAAGGGUUGUCCCUAAAAGGUUUUAUUUGGAUGGCUUCUAGGCUGUGGUCCAGCUAGUCCAACUAUGGGUGUCUACCAACAGAAGGCCCAAGAAUUCGGCAGUUGUUCAUUCUACAAGGCUGGAUAUUUCAGCUGGUGUUUAGUAUAUACUGGAAUCCAGACAUAGGCUCUAAAGACAGUGAAGGAAUGGACUGGACAGCAAGAGUAAGCAGGGAGAGAGAUUUCCUUCUUCCAUGUCUUUUAUACAGACUGCCCACAGAAGGUGUGGUUCAGAUUAAAGGUGGAUCUUCCCACCUCAAAUAUUCAAAAUAAAAGUAAGUCUUCCAACU